GCCGUUCUCAGUUCGGACUGUAGGCUGCAACUCGCCUACACGAAGCUGGAAUCGCUAGUAAUCGCGGAUCAGCACGCCGCGGUGAAUACGUUCCCGGGCCUUGUACACACCGCCCGUCACACCAUGAGAGUCUGUAACACCCAAAGCCGGUGGGAUAACCUUUAUAGGAGUCAGCCGUCUAAGGUAGGACAGAUGAUUAGGGUGAAGUCGUAACAAGGUAGC
rnacentral:rRNA from 1 species